ACGGAAGGCAGCAGUGAGGAAUAUUGGUCAAUGGACGCAAGUCUGAACCAGCCAUGCCGCGUGCAGGAAUAAGGCCCUAUGGGUCGUAAACUGCUUUUGUGGUGGAGCAAUAAGUCGUACGUGUACGGCGAUGAGAGUACAUCACGAAUAAGCAUCGGCUAACUCCGUGCCAGCAGCCGCGGUAAUACGGAGGAUGCAAGCGUUAUCCGGAUUUACUGGGUUUAAAGGGUGCGUAGGCUGUGGUCCAAGUCAGGGGUGAAAGCCCGGAGCUCAACUCCGGAACUGCCUUUGAUACUGGAUUGCUGGAAUACGGAUGCCGUGGGAGGAAUGAGUAGUGUAGCGGUGAAAUGCAUAGAUAUUACUCAGAACACCGAUUGCGAAGGCAUCUCACGAAUCCGUCAUUGACGCUGAGGCACGAAAGCGUGGGGAUCAAACAGGAUUAGAUACCCUGGUA
rnacentral:rRNA from 1 species